AGGCUGUGAUGGGGACACCUGGAGGCUCCUUUGCAUAGAGUCCCGGCCAAAAACAGAUGGCAGACUCAGAAGAGUUCACUCAGGAAAAUCUAAUGGCCUACGUACUAAAGUCUGGACCAGGCUUAAGGACAGACACCAAGAAAGGGAUGCUGCAAGGAUUUGAGAUGAUGCUUUUAUUAAAGCAUCCAGUGCAACACUUGGCAAGAGACAGUGCAAACUCACAGGAAACUUUUUACCUCCUGACUUCAUCUCUUACCCCUUUAUCUGAUUCCUGCCCUGCAAGCUGGGUUUCUGAGUCUUCUAGCCCAAAAGGGCCCAGGGAGGUUUCCUGCCGCCACCCAAGGUGUCCUUCCCCACCCCAUCUCCCGACUGACAUUGGGACACUGAGACCCCAGUAGUUAGGGGUCCAUUGGGCCCCUCUCUGGCCCAGCCAAGUCUCUGACAGACACCAGCAUUUCCAAGAAAACCAGUUCACGGGGCUCCAUGUAGGAAAAGCAGGCCCUUUCAGGAGCUAGCACUUAGGCAGGAUUUCCAAAUUUUUUUUCCCCAAAUCUUGAUGAUCUUACAUUUAAAACAUGUAUCACCUUGCUAGUUUCUGGCAGCAGUGCCCAGGCACAGAGAUAUGGGAACUAGAGCUGCUGGGUCCUUACAUUCUCAGCUGAGGGAAGCCUCCGCCCUUCCCACACACUGCUUUGCAGGGCAGCACCCCCAGCGCUUACCCACCAGGGAACCGGGCCUGUUCAGUGCUCUCUGAGCAGCUGUCCCAGAUUCCCCCAGAAGGCCAGGAAUGGGUAGGCUGAGGUCCGAGGGCCAAUUCUCAGAGACAGAGCAAACCCUGCCUGAUUCUAGAGGGAGUUGCAGCUCAAACCCCUUGGAGACAGAAGAGGGAAGGAGAAUUAAAGCGUAGUAAGUGUGUCUAUGGACCAGGUCCUUUGGGAACAAUAUCUUAUUUAAGCCACAUAGCGGCCUUGGAAUAAAGAUCAUUAUAGCCAAUUUGCACCGAAAAAGCAAAAGAAAAAGACCCUGUAAAGUUAUCUUAUUCCAAGGUCACACCGCUGAAGGUGGCAGAGUCAGGGUUUGACCUAAUUCUGCUCACUACUUUCUGGCUGUGCAACCUUGGGUAACAUCCUUCCUCUCUCUGGGCUUCAGUUUCUAUAUCUGUGCAAUGUGGCACUAAAAAUACCACCUCAUGAGAUGCUCUGCAGCUUCAGUGAGAUAGCCCACGUCAAGCACUUGGCAUGGUGCCAGGCAUACAACACAUUUUUUGAAUGAAUGAGUGAGUGAAGGAAUGAAUGAUUGGGAGGCAACUCAGCUCCAGCCCCAUUUAAAACUGUAUUUCAUCCAUGAUUUGUGGAGCUCAUAUUGACACCAGAGUGUGCCAAGUUUCCCAAGUUUCCAUCAGUCUUCAUGAUAUCAGCCUGAGAAUUUUUCUUCACUGAAAGAACUUCUCCAACUCCACUAGUGAAAAUCCUGUCUGGCCAAUGGCCACCGACUCUGAGAGUCUUUGUGGGAACCCAGCAGCUGAAUGUAGAGACCUGCCUGACACUCUCAUUGCAGAACGUUCCACGUCCUAGCUAGGUGUACCCGUUCUUUAGCUCCUCUAAAAGCACUGCCUAUUGCUGGAGGCAAAAGACCAAGCCCCCAGAAUAACAGGAGCCCUGAAAAUAGCUUCCAUUCAGUGUGCCCCCUGAGGACAGACACCACCUUGCCUCACCACUGUGUCUUCAGGUUGCUGUGGGGUGCCUCGCACCCGAGAGAUGCUCAAUAACUGUUUGUGGAAUGAAUAGAAUCCAAAAAGAGUUGAACAUAAAUGUGCAGGACUUGCUAAUUCUUCUGUGUGCAGGCAACACUGGGGCUUCAGGGGGAUGCUGGUGCCCAGCAACAACUUGUGUGUGGCCCUGGGGUCUGUUUCCAGGACGGCGGGAUCCCCUGGUCUGUAUUUUGUGAAAAGAUGAGUUCCCUGGAUCCAUUUGACUGGGUUUCAUUGAAGGACAUUUGAAAAAGGAAACUGGGGAAGGCAAAUUAGCCUCCCUGGCUUCCUGCAGAGAGCACCUUUUAUGAGACUGUCAUUUCGAGUUUCCUCUUCCUCUUGUUUGGUUCACACAUUCCCACAGCCUCCCUCAGAGAACAGAUUGAACCCCUAUUUUCCUCAUUAAAGAUCACAUCAGUGCAAGGACAUCCUGUCUGGAUGGGUAGGAAGUGCCCCAGGAGAUGUCUAUCGUGCGUCUGGGCCCCACAGGAGCAAGCUUCUGGCUGCCAUCUCUUAGGAUCUCACAGCCUUUGGACCUUGCAACAGCACCUCUCCCCAGUGUUAAGCAGACCCAGGGCUGAUUGCCAGUCACUUCCAGAAGGAUGGAGUUCAAAGGGACAUCUGGAGCAAACAGACUUCGGGUGGCAGAAAUAGAAGCCCUACUUGGCAGGGUUUCUGAAGGUAACAUGAGUCAACAUAUGUGAAACACUUUGCAUGGUGCCUUGCCUUCGUAAGAGCCCCAUUAUGACAACUGUGAUCAUAACUACUUUACAUAAAGGCUUCUGACCCAGUGUCCAGGGCUUGCAGUAAGAGAUCAUCCCUGCGCGCACUCCCCAUCUUCACACAGAGUAGGGACAAGGGAGAAGUGGGCAGCCUGGAAUGAGCGGCAAGUGGGGAGAACAGAGAACAAGCCACUGCUGGGGCAUGUGACCCCAGGAGGAGCUUCGCUUGCCUCCAUCAUUCCUUGUCCCAUGUGAGAGGCGGCUGCAGAGCUAUACUGGAGGAGUGGGUAAUAGACUCCUCUUUGUCAGUUGUGGUGGGUACAACCGAUUACCCAACCAACAGCCACCCUCCCGCAACUCAAAGCACUUCUUCCUUGCAGACAGAGCUCGCUUUCCAUCUUAGAAGCUGAAAAUGGUAGACGCUGUCUUGCCCAGGCUUCCUUACACAUGGGCAUGUAAUUUAUUCAUGGAAACAAACAACCUCUUUGUUUCUUUCCCAACAACCUUCCCAUGCCAGACACUGACAUGGGAAUGUGAUGCUGGAAGCUGCAGCUGCCACGUUGCAACCAUGAGGGGAUGAGCCAAGACCACACCAAUGUGCAAAGGACCAGAAAGAUGGAAGGGAUAUUCUGGAACUUUCGUAGCUCAGAGUUCUUGUAACGUGGGAGGAUAAAUGAACUCACUGCUUAAACCACUUCUAGGCAGGCCUUCUGUUAUUUGAAGCAAAAAGCAUUCCAGCAUUUCUAAACUUGAGAAAGACAUUUUGAAAAGUUGUGGGUCUGGGACUCUAAAACAGGUGUUCUUAGAGCCUCCCACUGCCUUUCUCUGGCCCUGGUGGUAACUGCAAAUCUUAGGAAGUCAUGGAAAGUUGCUGGGUCUGAGCCACACCUCACAUCCCAGCAUCUCAAGCCUCCAGGCAGAAACUGGUGAGUCACUGAGAUCUCGGGUGUCGUUCAGUGUGUUUGUCACUCCUUCCAUCAACGAAGUAGACUCUGGGGCCUACAGAGUGGCCAGCGCUGGAGAAGGUGAUGAGGAGGCAGAGCUAAAAAUGCAUGUCUCUGCUCAUGUGUUCAUUCAUGUAUUUAAUUAACACUUACCCAAAACAUCAAUAUCCCCCAAACUUAUUUUAAUAAAAUGUGGUGUUUGCUUUGUCAUCCUUCUGAAUAUGCCCUUCAGGCUUCAAUAUUCCAAAGUAGUCCAUGAAUGCAGAAAUAUUGGGAACCACCAAUUUGCGCAAGUCAUUAAAUCUUUCUGUGUCCCAGUUUCCUUCUCUGAGACAGCAGCUAGUUAAAUUUCGUCAGAUGGCCUCAUUGGCUCUGGCUAAGAAUCAAUAAGCAGUCAUGGUGUUAAGAGCCCUCCCUCAAGAAGUAUGCUACCACAGAGGGAGGUCUAAGCUGAGGUCUAGCUUCAUCCUUAAGGUCCCGUGUUCUGGAAUCCAGCGGACUUGGUUUGGAAUACUGACUCUGCCAAUUGUUUACAGAGUAAAUCUGGACAAAUUUGACUUUACUUCUCUGGCCCUCAGUAUUCACACGUAUGACUGGGAACACACAGCACCCAUCUCACAGGGCAUUAUCAGGAUUCACUGCUCUUAGCUAUGGUGAACUCUUGGCACAAGCAAACAAUAAAUAAUAGCUAUUUUAUUCUUGUUUUGUUUUUGUCACUGUUAGGGAAUCUCCAGUCGUAUUGAAACAUCUUCUAUGAAAGCCUCAGAAAACCCCCC
rnacentral:lncRNA from 1 species